rnacentral:pre_miRNA from 13 species
GCUCAGAGUACAUACUUCUUUAUGUACCCAUAUGAACAUAAAAAGCUAUGGAAUGUAAAGAAGUAUGUAUUUUUGGC